rnacentral:rRNA from 1 species
AUUGAACGCUAGCGGGAGGCUUACCACAUGCAAGUCGAACGAGCGGCGGACGGGUGAGUACUCUAUCGGCAGUGCCCCGUAGCGGGGGAUAACUACUGGAAACGGUAGCUAAUACCGCAUACUAUCGGCUAACCCAUAUGGGAUUAGCGAGUAGGUGAGGUCAUGGCUCACCUAGGCGACUAUCCAUAGCUGGUCGGUGAGGAUGAUCAGCCCCACUGUGACUGAGACACGGCCCAGAGUCCUACGGAGGCAGCAGUGGGGAAUAUUGCACAAUGGGCGCAAGCCUGAUGCAGCCAUGCCGCGUGUAUGAAGAAGGCCUGCGGGUUGUAAAGUACUUUCAGUCGGGAGGCGUUACCGACAGAAGAAGCACCGGCUAACUCCGUGCCAGCAGCCGCGGUAAUUC